AUCUGCGGCCACAGAACCAUGAAAGCACCGCAUCCCGUCCGAUCUGCAAAGUUAAGCAUGGCAUCGCCUCGUCAGUACUGCGGUGGGGGCUGAGUUUCACAGUGUUAGAUC
rfam:Pseudozyma antarctica DNA, scaffold: scaffold_v10017, strain JCM 10317, whole genome shotgun sequence.